GACGAACGCUGGCGGCGUGCUUAACACAUGCAAGUCGAACGGAAAGGCUCCUGCUUGCAGGGGUACUCGAGUGGCGAACGGGUGAGUAACACGUGGGUGAUCUGCCUUGUACUCUGGGAUAAGCUAGGGAAACUGGGUCUAAUACCGGAUAGGACCCCCCUUUAGAGGGGGGGGUGGAAAGUUUUUUCGGGGCAAAAUAACCUCCCGGCCUAUCACUUGGUUGGGGGGGAAAGGGCCUACCAAGGCUCCAACGGGUAGCCGGCCUGAAAGGGUGUCCGGCCCCUUUGGAACUGAAAUACGGCCCAAACUCCUACGGAAGGCACCAGGGGGAAAUAUUGCACAUGGGGCCGAAGCCUGAUGCACCAACCCCCCUGGGGGAAUAACGGCCUUCGGGUUGUAACCUCCUUUCCACAGGAACAAACCUUUUUGUGACGGUACCUGUAUAAGAAGCACCGGCUAACUACGUGCCAGCAGCCGCGGUAAUACGUAGGGUGCGAGCGUUGUCCGGAAUUACUGGGCGUAAAGAGCUCGUAGGUGGUUUGUCGCGUCGUCUGUGAAAUUCCGGGGCUUAACUCCGGGAGUGCAGGCGAUACGGGCAUAACUUGAGUGCUGUAGGGGAGACUGGAAUUCCUGGUGUAGCGGUGAAAUGCGCAGAUAUCAGGAGGAACACCGAUGGCGAAGGCAGGUCUCUGGGCAGUAACUGACGCUGAGGAGCGAAAGCAUGGGUAGCGAACAGGAUUAGAUACCCUGGUAGUCCAUGCCGUAAACGGUGGGCGCUAGGUGUAAGGGGCUUCCACGUCUUCUGUGCCGUAGCUAACGCAUUAAGCGCCCCGCCUGGGGAGUACGGCCGCAAGGCUAAAACUCAAAGGAAUUGACGGGGGCCCGCACAAGCGGCGGAGCAUGUGGAUUAAUUCGAUGCAACGCGAAGAACCUUACCUGGGCUUGACAUACACUAGAUUGCUGCAGAGAUGCAGUUUCCCUUGUGGGGGGUGCACAGGUGGCACAUGGUUGUUCUCCGCUCGUGUCGAGAGAUGGUGGGUUAAAUCCCCCCACCAACGCCACCCUUGUUAUAUGUCCCCCACAUUUUAGUUGGGGUCUCAAGAGAGACCGCCGGGGUUAUCUCCGAAGAAGGUGGGGAAGACGUCCAAUCAUCCUGGCCCUUAUGUACAGGGUCUCACACAUGACACAAUGGUGGGCACAACGUGCAGGGACACGGGGAGGAGGAGUGAAUCGCGGAAAGCCGGCCGUAGUUCGGAUUGGGGUCUGCAACUCGACCCCAUGAAGUCGGAGUCGCUAGUAAUCGCAGAUCAGCAAUGCUGCGGUGAAUACGUUCCCGGGCCU
rnacentral:rRNA from 1 species